GACGAACGCUGGCGGCGUGCUUAACACAUGCAAGUCGUACGGUAAGGCCCUUUCGGGGGUACACGAGUGGCGAACGGGGGAGUAACACGUGAGUAACCUGCCCACAACUUUGGGAUAACGCUAGGAAAGUGGGGCUAAUACUGGAUAUGUGCUCCUGCUGCAUGGGGGGGGUUGGAAAGCUCCUGCGGUUGUGGGUGGACUCGCGGGCUAUCGGCGUGUUGGUGAGGUAGUGGGCUACCAAUGCGGCGACGGGUAGCCGGCCUGUGGGGGUGACCGGCCACCUUGGGACUGACAUACGGCCCCGACUCCUACUGUUGGCCGCAGGGGGGAAUCCUGCUCAAUGGGCGCCAGCCUGAUGCAGCAGCGCCGCGUGCGGGAUGACGGCCUUCUGGUUGUAAACCGCUUUCAGCAGGGACGAAGCUUUUUGUGACGGUACCUGCAGAAGAAGCACCGGCUAACUACGUG
rnacentral:rRNA from 1 species